UGAGUGCAAUGGAUAGCUCAUUGGACUUCUAAUCCAAAGAUCGUGGGUUUGAAUUCCACCUGGAAAG